UAAUAAGUGUUUUAUGGCAUUUUUAAAUCCAUAUCCACCUUGUGUGCAAUGUCAGUCGAUCUUCUUCAUGGAGAUCGACCAAACAUCAACCUUUAUCUUUUAACUCUUUGUCUGAAAAAUAUUAUGAAUAAACAAUUCAAAAUA
rnacentral:misc_RNA from 1 species